UCAGGACGAACGCUGGCGGCGUGCCUAAUACAUGCAAGUCGAGCGGACAGAUGGAGUGCUUGCACUCCUGAUGUUAGCGGCGGACGGGUGAGUAACACGUAGGCAACCUGCCCGACAGACAGGGAUAACUCCGGGAAACCGGUGCUAAUACCUGAUAGGCAGCAAGGAGGCAUCUCUUUGUUGGGAAAGACCAUGAGUCACUGUCGGAUGGGCCUGCGGCGCAUUAGCUAGUUGGUGGGGUAGAGGCCUACCAAGGCGACGAUGCGUAGCCGACCUGAGAGGGUGAUCGGCCACACUGGGACUGAGACACGGCCCAGACUCCUACGGGAGGCAGCAGUAGGGAAUCUUCCGCAAUGGACGAAAGUCUGACGGAGCAACGCCGCGUGAACGAAGAAGGUUUUCGGAUCGUAAAGUUCUGUUGUAAGGGACGAACCGCCGGGAUGACCUCCCGGUCUGACGGUACCUUACGAGAAAGCCCCGGCUAACUACGUGCCAGCAGCCGCGGUAAUACGUAGGGGGCAAGCGUUGUCCGGAAUUAUUGGGCGUAAAGCGCGCGCAGGCGGUUUUCUAAGUUAGGUGUGAAAGCCCACGGCUCAACCGUGGAGGGCCACCUAAAACUGGGAGACUUGAGUGCAGGAGAGGAGAGCGGAAUUCCACGUGUAGCGGUGAAAUGCGUAGAGAUGUGGAGGAACACCCGUGGCGAAGGCGGCUCUCUGGCCUGUAACUGAC
rnacentral:rRNA from 1 species